rnacentral:rRNA from 1 species
AUUGAACGCUGGCGGCAGGCCUAACACAUGCAAGUCGAACGAGUGGCGGACGGGCGAGUAAUGUCUGGGAAAAUGCCUGAUGGAGGGGGAUAAAUGCUGGAAACGGUAGCAAAUACCGCAUACCAUCGGAUGUGCCCAGGUGGGAUGAGCUAGUAGGUGGGGAAAGGGCUCACUUAGGCGACGAUCCCUAGCUGGUCAGAGAGGAUGACCGGCCGCACUGGAACUGAGACACGGUCCAGACUCCUACGGUAGGCAGCAGUGGGGAAUAUUGCACAAUGGGAGCAAGCCUGAUGCAGCCAUGCCGCGUGUAUGAAGAAGGCGUUCGGGUUGUAAAGUACUUUCAGCGGGGAGGCGUUACCCGCAGAAGAAGCACCGGCUAACUCCGUGCCAGCAGCCGCGGUAAUAC